ensembl:lncRNA
ACCUGGCCUCGCCGAGACCCGCGGAGGCCCGCGGAGUUCCGCCCUGGGCCCUGGCCCCGGUGCUCCCCUCAGCUGCCGCCGCUUUCCUCGUGCUCCACACUCAGCAGUCCCGCCCGCCCCUCUCCCAGCCCCUGACCCUCACACGGCUGGACGUGACCCGGGGCAGGUCACACAGCCUCCACAGGAGGAAGCCUCAACUUCCUCCUCCAUAGACGGGGCGCUAACUCCUGUGGUGGCCAUCGCUGCAGCCCGGGGCCCUCUGCAGCAGAUGCAGGUUGUAAAGAAGACCUCUGCACACGGACCGGCUCUUCAGGAUUUAGUCUGCUCAAGGCAAACGCAGGCCACAGGAUAGCACAUACAGAGCGACUCCGUUUGAGUUUCAGCACGCCCACAGGCACAACACUCAGAUUGUGCAUUUAUAUAAGCACGAGCUUGUGUUAAGUUGACCAGAAAAGUUCGGUCGGGUUUUUCUGCAACAUCUAAUGAAAAAACCAAAAGAACUUUUUGGCCACCUCAACAUACAAGGGAUCUUCCCGACCCAGUGAUCGAACCCAAGUCUGCCGCGUUUCUUGCACUGGCAAGUGGAUUCUUUGCCACCUGGGAAGCCACGUCUGCCAAAGUGGACGCCGAAACUAAGCAGCGAAUAUGCCGGGAGUCAGGGGCUUGAUCAAGAUGGACUUGGAUUUUAUUGGUAACACCUUGAAUUUUAUGACACUGCUCAAGAAUUACUGUGUGAUCUCAAAUAAAAAUGUAAAUUGCACGCUUCUUGCAAAGGCGUGGGGAGAAUUACACCCUAAGAGCCUAGCACAGCCCUGCCCUCCUAACCUGCUCCUCCUCAGCACCUGCGUUCCAACAACCGGCCCGGAGCCAGGCCAUUUAUUCACUCAACAAGCUGGUGCUGCUGCCUCCUCUGCUGCCUCGGCCUGGACUCUGGGUCAGAGGCGGUUCCAAAGUGGGCCUGGCGUGGCAUGGAGAGUCUCCCAGCCCCAGGGGACAUGGCAGGUGGACUUGAUGCCCAGCCUCGCUUCCACAUGUGUCUUCUAAAUCUUUGGAGGUGCCAAAAAAAAAAAAAAACAGCAAUAAUAUUUUUCAUGCCAAACACCCAUGAAUAAACAUUUUCUUCCAAAGAGACAAUUUGUGGGACUUCCCUGGCAGUCCAGUGGUUAAGACACCGAGCUUCCACUGCAGGAGGAAUGGGGUCAAUCCCUGGUCAGGGAACUAAGACCC